AGCUGCGUCCCGCCCUUCUCGGUGGUCUUAAAGAGACAUGCGAAGUAGGGCGAAUUCUCAGGAGUUCGGGAGUGUUUUACUCUUUGUUUAUUCGUUUUUCCUAUGCAAAUAGAAAAAUGAAAAAGGAUUGAGAAGAGGAAAAAAAAAUACGUCACCAAUUCCUGUUUUCUCUGGCCAUGAAAACUUAACCAACUGGGAAGACUCCAUAGCAGAUAGCUUGUGAACCAAAGGAGUCCUCCUGUCACUGUUUAUCUGGUGUUGGCCCCUCAGCUGUACCACCUAGGUGUCUGACAGUCACCUUGAAAACAGCAGGACUCGAGCAACAGUGGAGUAGUAUGGAGAGCUACCUGUGGCCUGCUUUCUGCCUGGGCCUGGUUUAUGAGUUCCUCCAAGCUUGGGAAACUGCCUCCUCCUACCCAUAGAGGACUCUACCUGCUCCCCAGACUCCUGUUGCUCUAUUAACCCCCUGGGUUUCCCCCAGCUUUGGCACUGCUUGCCUGGAUUCUGUUUGCUCAGCUUUACCAGCCUGUGAACACUUUGAGAACAAAAAAGACCAGGAAUGAUUCUAGUCUCUGGGUGGCCAGGGUCAACCAAGGUGGUAUCGUACAAUUACUGUUCACAGUACUCUAACAUGGACUGAAAGGGUCCAUAGACAGUUCUUGCUGUCUGGGAGCAGUGUAAACAGCAGACAGCUGAUUCACAGUUCAUACAGAGAGACCAGUGUCUUUAGCCUAUCCCACAGCAGACUUCCCAUUUGAUGUCUAAAAUACUCCGAUUAUUUGUCGGCGCCAGCACCAACCUGGUACCGAGAAUCGGGCGAAAGCCUACGGGAUGAAAGAAACACACACACACACACACAGGUUAUCGUGUCAAGCCAGGAGAGGAAGAGAGGAAGAGAGGAAGAGAGAGAGAGAGAGAGAGAGAGAGAGAGAGAGAGAGAGAGAGAGAGAGAGGAAGAGCGGAAGGAAGAGCGAGAGUGAGGAAGAAGAGUGAGAGUCUCCUGUAGCUUUAUUCACUUAUAUACCCAAGUCUCCAGGUAGAAAAUAACUGGGAAGCACAGUGGGAAACCCUGGCUCGUGACUACCUGGCUCAUGACUUCGGUAACAAAAGACCAACUAGGAGGCCUGAAUUAAUUAGGGAGAAAUCCCAGAAGACCAGCCUAAAUCUCAAGGAUAAAGGCUGAGGAAGUAAAAGGCAGAAGUAAAUUGACCACCACCCAGGUGUGGUCCAGGUGUGUCAGUUCCACAUGCGUCAGCCAGGCUCAGCAGAGGUCAUGCAGUGGAGAUAUCGGGUGUUUACUACUUGGUCUUUUCUUCCUGUGCCGUAAAUACAUGGGAGAGGCCUCUGUCCAACAAUCCCAUGACUUUUACUGUGGCCAUGCAGUUACAAAGCGGCCAGGCCCAAAUCCAAUAUGGCACUACAAUUAUUUAUCAUGGUUGAUAAUGUUUUUCCUUUCUUUUUUUUUUAAAGAUUUAUUUAUUUAUUCAUUUAUUUUAUGUAUGUGAGUACACUGCCGCUGUCUUCAGACACACCAGAAAAGGGUACCAGAUCCCAUUACAGAUGGUUGUGACCCACCACGUGAUUGCUGGGAAUUGAACUCAGGAUCUCUGGAAGAGCAGUCAGUCCUCUUAACCGCUGAGCCAUCUCUCCAGCCAGAUAAUGUUUUUCUAACUGGCAAGCAGUCAGGUGGAAUCACACGCUAGCCAUUUUAACUCCUGUGAAGGGACUUUGCAGGACCUCUGACUCUCAGAACAAUACUGCAAACUUGAAAGGGCCACCCUUGUUGUAUAAAGGAAACCGGGCUUAGAGUACGUGCUGAGCACUUUUGGUGACUGUCAGGAAUAAGCAUCGGCUUAUGAAUCCAGUCAUGCAAGCAUGCCCAGCGCCGCCUUUGUCUCACACUCACCUGUUGCUAACCUCAUCCCCGCUGAUCUUAUUCCAGCUACAGCAGACAGACCCUGAGCAAAGGUCACCCCAAACCCAUGCUACGGGCUCCUCCUCUUCUGCACCAAGCCUUGUUUCUUCAUCCACAGGUCAUGGGACUCUACUAAAACCACCUAGGACCCAGGCUGGUGCAUCCCAGAUGUGCAGAAGGGAGAGCAGUUAAUGCCUCGUGGGCAAAUCCUUGACCAAUGGAGUCAACAGUUGGUGAACCCAGGCAUCUUUUCAUGUCUACAGGUGCACACUGAUGCUUUCAAAUACCCUGAAGGACUGAGCAGCCAAAUCCCCUUGAUGACGUAUACCCAAGAUGGCUACCUCUCUUCCCUGACUUACACUACCCCCUCCUCGCCUAGUCCUGGGACUCACACUGCAUUAUCCACAUGAGAGCCCACUGAGGCACGUAGGCACCAAGCAUGGACGCAGUCAGACUAAGGGACCAAGACAAUUGGAAAGAACUAAUGACGGGGACAUCUGGCCUUGGAUCCACGUGGAACUCAGUCACAGAAGGAGCCAGCCUAGCAGACUUGUGUAAUAACUUGAAGGCACAGCUGAGGCACAUUUGAAGAAAUCGAUGUGAUAGCAACCCUGUCCUCCAUCAUGAAGGUCCCAGCAUUAAGCCAAUGGCAUAUCCAUUACAAUGGGCUUUGUUGUAAAUAUGUGGUGUUCAUAUAUUUAUACAUAUGUAAAUUCACAUAUUUAAACAUAUAUAAGCCACAGGGUAGUGCUUUUUUAUCAUUUUCAGCAAAGUAGCCCAUGCAUGGGAUCAUGUCCUUCCCCAGGUUGAAGUUCCUCUCUGUAGGAAGUCCUGGUUCCCAGGGAGAGGUCAGGGGAGAAAGGGAUCAAUUUUGCUCCCUAACUAGUUCCAUUAGAUUGGAGGCUGCAACUAUCUCUUGACAUUUUUGGUUCCUCUCUCUAGUGCUCCAGUGCAGUAGAGGAAGGCUGUGUGGUCAGGAUAAUCAGCCAUGGAUGCUUUAAAAAGUUGGGAGAAGGUGUGGUGGCCUACAUCUGUAACUUGCUAUUCAGGAAGCUGAGGCCAGAGGAUUGCUGUGAGUUCAAGGGCAUCCUGAGCUACAGAGACAGAGACAAAAGGGAGUUGCCUGGACACCUCCUGGGACUUCAACACCUAUCAAUGAAGAUAAGCAGAUAAGCAGGCAAUUAAGCAACUACAUUCUAGCAAGGACACUUAAGGGCUGAGUCACUCAGGAAGAGCAUUCUAAGUUAUUCCAAAAUGCUGGUUAAGGCUGAGGGAGACUGGGAAGAGGCCAUGGAGGGAGGAAAAGGAAGAGAACCGUUUGCAGCAUCAGAGAGCGCAGCAUUCUAAUGGCUCCUUUACAACACCGCCUUGUGGACUGAGCUGUCCUCUUCAGUGAACAGACCCCUGAGAGAUUCUGCCUGUUGCUCACCUCUCUUAGGAGGCAGGGACCAUGUCCUAAUGUAAUACCUCAGUGAGACAGAGUGGAGUUGCAAGAGCACAACCUCUCUGCAGAUGCCAUCCGAUCCCUCUCUAGGGAAACAUCUUAUUGCCUCCAGCUCUCACCUUCCAGACACCUCUGCUAUGACUUGUGUGGUCUGUAACAAGGUCCUCACAUGGGCCACCUGACAGGACUCUGCCUCAGGGCUCUUCCACAGGGACCUCUCAUGGCCUUACAUAUGUCCAAAACGUGAUGGAGUUAACGGUAUAAGGACAAACAAGAUCUCACUAUAUAGCCCAGGCUAGCCUCAAUGUUGUAAUCCUCCAGAUCCAGUCUCCAAAGCCUUGGGAUUGCAGGAGUGUACGCCAGUCUCUCUGGGAGACUUUUGGCUAAAGGAGAUGAGUUCCACUGGCGAACUCUCUCUCACUUUCUCUCAGACAGAUGACCCCAAGACAGAUGUCAACAGAUGUGACAUUUUCUCUUGACUCUGGGCCUUUGACUUAGCUUUCCUUGCCUUUUCUAGCUAGCCCUGAAAGACCCCCUCCCAGAAAGGGAAUUGUACAAGCCCAAGGCCCUCAACUAUAGAAGUAAAAAAUAAGUUUUUAGAUACACAGACUCAAAACUAAAAUAAGCCUGGGAAAGUUCAGAUGUGUCCAAGCUUUGUGGGACAAGCUGACCCAUCAUCUAGACGAAACAGACCAUAAAAGAAAACAAAAUACAGAAACCAGCCUAAAUUAUUGAUAUUGCUUUAUGGGCCACCUAACAAGAGAUAAGCCCCUAGCCCCUGACAUUCCGGACGCCCCAACCUUGCUGUGUGACAACCUCAUUUGAAUAGCCAAUUGGGUGUAACCAUACAUCUGCGCCUCACUUGAAUCCACCAACCAUGCAUCUGCUUCUGUAAGCCUGCUUCUGCUCCCCAAUACCCUAUAAAAACCUGCCCCUGGUUCUGUUAGGCGCGCCAGUCUUCCGAAUUGACUGGGACGCCCACAGAUACCUGUGUAUCCUGAUCAAUAAAAAUCCUCUUACAGAUUGCAGCCUGUGGACUCGGACUGGUCAUUGGGCUCGAGGAUCUCCCUCCUGAGGGAAGAUUCUCUCUGAGAGUCUUACAUUAUGGGGGCUCGUCCGGGAUCGGAGAUCCUCUGCCUAGAGACCACCGACCACCCACCGGGAGGUAAGCUGGCCAGUGUUUGUCUUGUCCUGUCUUGUCUUGCUUUGUGACUUGUUCUGUAAAUGCUUAGUUACUUGGCUUGGGUCUAGACCGUUUGUAUUUGGGUGGGCCAGAGAAGGAGCUGACGAGCUCGGACUUCUCUCCCGCAGCCCUGGAAGACGUUCCAAGGGUGUUUGGAGCCUGGUUUUUCGGGGCUCAGCCUGUAUCGGAAGGAUACGUGGUUUUGGGUUGGAGGAGAGAGGAGAGAGCCGGAUCCACUGAAGGAUCCGAACCCUCGUCGCCUCUGUCUGAAUUUUUGGUUUCAGUUUGACACCGAAGCCGCACGGUGCGUCUGUCUGUCUGACUGUUGGAAUUGUUUGUCUUCUUUGUGUCCUAAUUUUCUUUAAACAUCUGUGGAAAUUGGUUAUAGGAUUCUUUGUCUUGGUCUUGUUUGUCUGGGUUGUUUUCUGUGGUAUUGUCCAGUGUCUUUAUGACUUUUGUUUCGUUUUUGGACUUUGGAUAGAUGACUGUGUUUAAAAUCUUGGACUGACGACUGUGUUUGAAAUCAUGAAACUGUUUGCUUUGUUUGUCAAGGAGUUUUACUUGGUCCUCUUGGUGCUUAACUUAGAAAUAAUUUGCUUGAGAAAAAUUGUUUUCUGCCGGGGAGUUUUAUCUUUCUCUCUUAAGCCUCCUCCCCAAGGAGAGAUGCUUCUCCCUUUGCUCCCCUUGUCCAGUCUAGCUGCUUUUAACAGUUGUGUAUGAAGAACUCCAGGUUAGUGAGUGACCCUGUCUGAAGCAGGUAUUAACAAGAGCCUGAAAGCUUUACCUUAGAUCCUGAAAAAAAAUUCUCCCUGUUGCUUAAACAUUCACAGCUUCUAAGGAAGGGACAGCACAGAGUAGAAAAAUAUAGGGGCUGAGGGUGACAAGCAUGCAGGCCUGCUAGCAAGCUGCAGGCUGCGCGUGGGCAGUGGCGCAGCUCAGGCCAAGUCAGCGUAAGAGGAGUUUCAAGGUGAUGAGGCCAGCUGGGGUUGACGCUUUGACAACAAAAAGGUAAUAUAGAGUUAGUGGUUGUUUUAUGAGACUUUUGGCCCUGAAAAAAAAAUAAUUCCAGUUGCUGCCUUCAGUGGCCAGAUCUUCAACACUUGCUCACAGAAGGAGAGCGUUCAUUAAGAGAAGUUCUUUAAGGAAGCCUGCCUUAUCUGCUGGCCCUAUUCCAAGAGAGGAGUUGAUCUCCAGCAUUAAAUAACCUUCCCUGUUAGUCAUCAUUGACAUGGAGAAUACCUUUGAUCCUAUCCCCACAGCAGCCAGUUCCUGCCCCUGUGGUCAAAAUGCCCCAGGUUGGGGGGCAGAGAAGCCCCUAAAAUAGUUUCAAAAAGAAUCUACAACAAACUGUGAAGAACUUUGUUUUGCCAGUCAAAAUUUAGAAUUCAGGCUUUGGCUAUGGCCAAGGUCAGGAUUAAUGUUUUCUUUUCCAUGGGCCUUUAGCCCACUGAGACAGUUUGGUAAAGGGCUGCUACUGAGGUCCUGAAAGUCCCAGGUGAACUGGUUACAAUUCUUUUGUCAGCCACUUGGCAUCUAGCACCCAGGUCCUAACCAUCUCUCCAUCCUUUUGUUAUUAGUUCUUACUGGAAGCCUAGUGUCCUUCAGAGGCUGGGUCUCUUGAGAGGCAGAGCCACUGAGCUGGCACUGAAGGGAGGUACUUCUUAAGUAAAAUCUAAGUCCAGAGAGACAGUCGGUAACA